UACGUAGGGGGCAAGCGUUGUCCGGAUUUAUUGGGCGUAAAGAGCGUGUAGGCGGCCAAAUAGGUCGGUUGUGAAAACUGGAGGCUUAACCUCCAGACGUCGACCGAAACCAUCUGGCUAGAGUCCGGAAGAGGAGAGUGGAAUUCCUGGUGUAGCGGUGAAAUGCGCAGAUAUCAGGAAGAACACCCGUGGCGAAGGCGGCUCUCUGGGCCUUACCUGACGCUGAGGAGCGAAAGCGUGGGGAGCGAACAGG
rnacentral:rRNA from 1 species